CUCUCUCGAUAAUGGCUGCCGCAACCGAAACUAGAUCUCUCUUUCUCACCCUCACCCUCACCACCGCAACCAAAACUCCAUCUUUCUCUCUCUCUCUCUCUCAACUCUUCUCCCUCUCUAUUUUUAUUAGUCUCCACCACCACUACCCACCACCACCACCACCACCGCUUUGAUUCUUCACGUCGUCAUCUCAUCUUCUUCUCGCUGGGUAAGCAUCUUCUCCCUCUCUAUUUUUAUUACUCUUUUAUUUUCUUCUGUUGUUUAAAAUUUUUGAUGAUUUAUAGUUCAAAUUAUUGAAAUUUAAAUUUAAUUCAUCAUUUUAGUUUUCUAGGGUUUCAAUCAUGUGAAUUAGUUUUUAAAUUAUGGCAGCUCCAGUCCUGCUAAACCCUGGCAGCAUAUUUUCCCAGUGACUAUAAUAGCUUUCAAUAUGUAUAAAUUUGACCCUGUUAUAAAUUUCUACUUGAUUACUGUUAAACGUAAAAUUUGAAUAUGUAUAAAUUUGACCCUGUGUGUAUUUAAUUAGUCCAUAAUAGCUAGUAUCAUGGAUGCAAAUUUUUCUUUUUUUAUGAGUGCCCCAGGCGUCAAAAAUUUCUGGCUACGCCACUGUUUCAAGCUACCAAACAAUUAUAGCUUGAUAAGCCCUUCAGGCAUACAACCUGGAAUUGCAUAUGAGCAUAUAAACUUUGUGAAUAAUUGUUUAAGCAGUUGGUAAGAUGCUUCGAUCAUUCAGACUCUUUAAGCCUUCACAAGAUAGAAGCAACAACUAAGCUAGAAAAAUUCCUAUCUUGACUCAUUCGAGUAUACAGUAGUAUAAUAGUAUUAUUGAAUUAUUAGUAGUCGACUGGUGUUAUUAAAGUGCAUGGUUCAAUAUACUUAAAUUAAAAUAUGUGUAAAUUGCAAUCAUAAUUUCCCCUUCUUUUUUUUCCCUGAGGUGAAAAACUGCAUGUCAUACAUUGAUAAGACCUGGACAUGUUUAUGAACAGAAAUUAACUAUGCAAACAAUUCUGAUUAAUCGAAGUUUAACCAAGCAGUUGGUAAGAUGCCUGACUCUAUUAGGACUUAGGAGCAACAACUAAGCUCAAAUCUCUUAUCUUGACUUGCUUGAGUGUAGUAGAAUAGUGGAUUAUUGGUGGUAUACACGUAUAUUUGGUAAAUACAGUGGUACUCAUUCUUCUGUAAAGAUUAGUGUCUUAAUCACCCAUAUCAAAUGGUCAUUUCUGCCAUUUGUGAAAAUUUAAUCAUUAAUUAUAACUUAUAAGAAUGCCAAGGAGCUGUUUGCUGUGUUCACUAAAAUAAUUGAUGUUAUUAUGUGUUCCAUGUCUUUAUACAAACAAAACAACUUUAUAAAAAUGUUACAACCAAAAAACAAAACUUUAUAAAAUGCUAUCACCACUUUACAUUUCUAAUAUGCUUUAGUGUCUAUCCUUUUCUUUAGUGUAAGGUACACAGUACACUUCUGAAAGAAGCAGCAGUGUUUGUUGCCAUUCAUUUCUGCUUUUUUUUUAUGUAUUAUUAGUAUGGCUUUUCUCAUGGAUAGAACCAUUGCUAGGGUUGUAACCCUCAGGUAUUAAUUAAUGUUUGGACUUGAAUAUUUUUAUUAGGAAUGUUUUACUAUGCCUAUUAUGUUACAGUUUGGUGGUUCAGAAGAUAUAGUUUAUGGUUAAAUUUACUCUUAAUUGAUGAAGCAAGUGGACUAUGAGGAGAAGAAAAUAUUGUUUGAUAACACUAAUAGCUGAAUAAAGUAAAGCUGUGUUAAGCAGAUCCCUAUUAGAAACGUCAUCAAUGUUGUGCAGCCUACCAUCUAAUGUAGAAAAGAAAAUGCAUGAGCAAAGGUGAGUGCACAACUGCCCUAUUUCUCUCCACCCAAGGUUGGAACUUUCCUCUUCAGGGAAGUUGUUAUCAGCUUCCCUAGCAGUUCUAAAGUAUAGACAGAAUUACUACCUGACCUGUAUUUUAUCUGAGCAAGAGGGUUUCAAAGCCCUGCACCUGAGUGCCAGUGUCCUCGACUUUUUGACAAAUUUAGCAAGUUUGUAAUUGGUCCAAAUAAUCUGAUAAGGCGGAUAAUUAUAUUGGCAAUUCAAAUUAAUUGAUUCAGCAAUCCAACCUGAUCCCAUAAGGUCACUGAUGGAUUAAAUCUUGAUAAAUAUCUGUUCCUUUCAUUCCACAGAUAUUGCAAGUGUUUUCAUCUCGAAAUAUUUUCGC
rnacentral:lncRNA from 1 species